CUUGGCUUGAGAAGAAGGAAAGGAAGAAACUCAAGAUAUCAGAGUGGGCUCUGUGUCUUUCUUCUGUCUGAGGUGUUUCAGAAGGUUUGCUAAGACGUCCUGACAGCCGGCGAGCCUCCGCAGCUUCAGCAGACAGAGAAGAAAUCGGC